AAGAAAAGAGUUGCACAAGAGGCUUCAGCUGACACUGCCAAAAUAGCAGCAAAGCUUAGCAUUCCAAGCUGUUCCCUGCUGGCAUUCCUCCAAUCAGGCACCCGGCCCGGGGGUGGCAGCCUGGGGUGGAGUGGCCUUGUUAAAGCCUCACUCUUUUUAGUUGCAUUUCUCAGACACUGCCCUUGUCUCCACUGGAAGGACUCUCACCUGUUCUCUGCACAAGAGGUAACUGAAAAUGUCAGACACUGAAGAGAUCAUUGAGGAAUAUGAAGAGGAACAGGAAGAAGAAUGCGUCGAAGAAGAAGAGGAAGAAUGGAUAGAGGUGGAAGACGGUAGUAGAACAUUUCUUUACAUUUCACUUUGCUGCUGCUUGCCAAUGACACACAGGCAGAAUACUUACUGACCUAUCGUGCAUGGAAAUCAUAAGCAUUUAUGUACUGUGUGCAUCAGUCAAAGGCCAUACCAGUUUGGAGAGCUAUUUAAUUCCUUCCUCCGAAAGAGCCCUGGAAAUUGCAGUUUUGGAAGGAGGGGCUAGAGAUCUCUCCCAGAGAAUUCUCAGCAUCUCCCCAAAAUACAGUUUCCAGGAUUCUUUGGGAGAAGCCAGGAUUAUAAACAGUCUAAAAUCUAUAUAUGUUUGUAGUAUUGGUAUUAUGUAGCCUAUGCAGGUUUGUGGCUUUUGUUUAAAAUCACAUGUGGCAAGUGGGCUCAUUCCUACUCCCCUCCUCAAUGUGUUGGUUUAAUACAAAAAAAAAAAAAAUGCCUAGUGCUUAUAUAAUAGCAUCAUUCACAUUUGGGUACCAGAAGGUAGCCUUUGUGGGUGACAGUACAAUUUCUGAUUAACUCCUUUUGCACCAUUUAUUUCCAUAUCUGAUAUUUAAAGUGAGACAUUUCUGAGAGCCACUGUCUUUUAACCCUGGUCACAAAAAAUCUAAAUGAGAUUCCAUCAUCUCCUGUGGCAUCAAAACCGAUAAGUAAAUUGUGUGGUGUGUGUGAAGACAUGUUUCAUUUCUCCAAUUUUACAAGGUGACCCUGAGUUCUGGUAUGAUGGAAGAACCCUUCCAUCGAUCCACUUUCUUCACACCAGACCUCAUAAGCUUCUAUCACAUCUCGCCUCUUUAGUUAUCUGUUUUAAAAACUAAAAAUCCCCAGAUGCUCGGCUUUUCUCUGUAGGUGAAUGUGUUGUAAACCUCUGACCAUUUUGGUUGCCCUUUCUUCUUUGUUGCUCUGCAUUUAAUAAUAUUGCGAUGGACCAGGAAUGUGGACCUUGACUAAUAACCUGCCUCUACAUUUGAGGUGUGUAUCAUGUUGAGGACCGCUGAAGCUCAUUUCAAACCCUACCUCCCACAACAGAAACAUCAUUGAACCGCAAUGUGUUCAGUUUAAGAUGGCAGUCCCAAGUUAUCACUUGUCAUUAGCCAUGUUCUAGAAAUAUGCUAUCUAUCUUUCCCAACCCCUCUUCUCUGACCAACGUCCCAAUGGCUGGGAUUCAUUACCUCAAGCAGAAUUUUGUGUAGGCCAACAAUGAAAAUUCUCAGAUCUGUUGAUGUCAUCCUGCUGUUUUCUU